rnacentral:rRNA from 1 species
UGUCUUCCUGGAGGCAGCAGUGGGGGGUAUUUUUCAAUAAGUGCACGCAUGAUGCAGCGACGCCGCCUGAGGGAGGACGGCCUUCUGGUGGUUAACAUCUUUUUUCAGGGAGGAAGCUUGGGUGACGGUACCUGUAGAAGAAGCGCCGGCCAAUUACGUGCCAGCAGCCGCGGUAAGACGUAGGGCGCGAGCGUUGUCCGGAUUUAUUGGGCGUAAAGAGCUCGUAGGCGGCUUGUCGCGUCGACUGUGAAAACCCGGGGCUUAACUUCGGGCUUGCAGUCGAUACGGGCAGGCUGGAGUUCGGUAGGGGAGACUGGAAUUCCUGGUGUAGCGGUGAAAUGCGCAGAUAUCAGGAGGAACACCGGUGGCGAAGGCGGGUCUCUGGGCCGAUACUGACGCUGAGGAGCGAAAGCGUGGGGAGCGACCAGGAGUAGAAACGCUCCC